GAAGGCAUAUCUCAGUGGUAGAACACAUGCUUUGCAUGCAUGAGGUCUUGGGUUCAAUCCCCAGUACCUCCA
rnacentral:tRNA from 1 species